UACGUAGGGACCAAGCGUUGUCCGGAAUCAUUGGGCGUAAAGAGCGUGUAGGCGGCUUGUUAAGUCUUGUGUGAAAUCUCGGGGCUCAACCCCGAGCGGUCGUGGGAAACUGGUUGGCUAGAGUGCGGGAGAGGAGAGUGGAAUUCCUGGUGUAGCGGUGAAAUGCGCAGAUAUCAGGAAGAACACCCGUGGCGAAGGCGGCUCUCUGGAACGCAACUGACGCUGAGACGCGAAAGCGUGGGGAGCAAACAGG
rnacentral:rRNA from 1 species